GCCCCGUACACAAAAAUGCACAUACUGUGAGCUCGAUGAGUAGGGCGGGACACGUGGUAUCCUGUCUGAAUAUGGGGGGACCAUCCUCCAAGGCUAAAUACUCCUGACUGACCGAUAGUGAACCAGUACCGUGAGGGAAAGGCGAAAAGAACCCCGGCGAGGGGAGUGAAAAAGAACCUGAAACCGUGUACGUACAAGCAGUGGGAGCCUCUUAAUGGGGUGACUGCGUACCUUUUGUAUAAUGGGUCAGCGACUUAUAUUCUGUAGCAAGGUUAACCGAAUAGGGGAGCCGAAGGGAAACCGAGUCUUAACUGGGCGUUAAGUUGCAGGGUAUAGACCCGAAACCCGGUGAUCUAGCCAUGGGCAGGUUGAAGGUUGGGUAACACUAACUGGAGGACCGAACCGACUAAUGUUGAAAAAUUAGCGGAUGACUUGUGGCUGGGGGUGAAAGGCCAAUCAAACCGGGAGAUAGCUGGUUCUCCCCGAAAGCUAUUUAGGUAGCGCCUCGUGAAUUCAUCUCCGGGGGUAGAGCACUGUUUCGGCAAGGGGGUCAUCCCGACUUACCAACCCGAUGCAAACUGCGAAUACCGGAGAAUGUUAUCACGGGAGACACACGGCGGGUGCUAACGUCCGUCGUGAAGAGGGAAACAACCCAGACCGCCAGCUAAGGUCCCAAAGUCAUGGUUAAGUGGGAAACGAUGUGGGAAGGCCCAGACAGCCAGGAUGUUGGCUUAGAAGCAGCCAUCAUUUAAAGAAAGCGUAAUAGCUCACUGGUCGAGUCGGCCUGCGCGGAAGAUGUAACGGGGCUAAACCAUGCACCGAAGCUGCGGCAGCGACACUAUGUGUUGUUGGGUAGGGGAGCGUUCUGUAAGCCUGUGAAGGUGUACUGUGAGGUAUGCUGGAGGUAUCAGAAGUGCGAAUGCUGACAUAAGUAACGAUAAAGCGGGUGAAAAGCCCGCUCGCCGGAAGACCAAGGGUUCCUGUCCAACGUUAAUCGGGGCAGGGUGAGUCGACCCCUAAGGCGAGGCCGAAAGGCGUAGUCGAUGGGAAACAGGUUAAUAUUCCUGUACUUGGUGUUACUGCGAAGGGGGGACGGAGAAGGCUAUGUUGGCCGGGCGACGGUUGUCCCGGUUUAAGCGUGUAGGCUGGUUUUCCAGGCAAAUCCGGAAAAUCAAGGCUGAGGCGUGAUGACGAGGCACUACGGUGCUGAAGCGACAAAUGCCCUGCUUCCAGGAAAAGCCUCUAAGCAUCAGGUAACAUCAAAUCGUACCCCAAACCGACACAGGUGGUCAGGUAGAGAAUACCAAGGCGCUUGAGAGAACUCGGGUGAAGGAACUAGGCAAAAUGGUGCCGUAACUUCGGGAGAAGGCACGCUGAUAUGUAGGUGAAGCGACUUGCUCGUGGAGCUGAAAUCAGUCGAAGAUACCAGCUGGCUGCAACUGUUUAUUAAAAACACAGCACUGUGCAAACACGAAAGUGGACGUAUACGGUGUGACGCCUGCCCGGUGCCGGAAGGUUAAUUGAUGGGGUUAGCGGUAACGCGAAGCUCUUGAUCGAAGCCCCGGUAAACGGCGGCCGUAACUAUAACGGUCCUAAGGUAGCGAAAUUCCUUGUCGGGUAAGUUCCGACCUGCACGAAUGGCGUAAUGAUGGCCAGGCUGUCUCCACCCGAGACUCAGUGAAAUUGAACUCGCUGUGAAGAUGCAGUGUACCCGCGGCAAGACGGAAAGACCCCGUGAACCUUUACUAUAGCUUGACACUGAACAUUGAGCCUUGAUGUGUAGGAUAGGUGGGAGGCUUUGAAGUGUGGACGCCAGUCUGCAUGGAGCCGACCUUGAAAUACCACCCUUUAAUGUUUGAUGUUCUAACGUGGGCCCCUUACCGGGGUUGCGGACAGUGUCUGGUGGGUAGUUUGACUGGGGCGGUCUCCUCCUAAAGAGUAACGGAGGAGCACGAAGGUUGGCUAAUCCUGGUCGGACAUCAGGAGGUUAGUGCAAUGGCAUAAGCCAGCUUGACUGCGAGCGUGACGGCGCGAGCAGGUGCGAAAGCAGGUCAUAGUGAUCCGGUGGUUCUGAAUGGAAGGGCCAUCGCUCAACGGAUAAAAGGUACUCCGGGGAUAACAGGCUGAUACCGCCCAAGAGUUCAUAUCGACGGCGGUGUUUGGCACCUCGAUGUCGGCUCAUCACAUCCUGGGGCUGAAGUAGGUCCCAAGGGUAUGGCUGUUCGCCAUUUAAAGUGGUACGCGAGCUGGGUUUAGAACGUCGUGAGACAGUUCGGUCCCUAUCUGCCGUGGGCGCUGGAGAACUGAGGGGGGCUGCUCCUAGUACGAGAGGACCGGAGUGGACGCAUCACUGGUGUUCGGGUUGUCAUGCCAAUGGCACUGCCCGGUAGCUAAAUGCGGAAGAGAUAAGUGCUGAAAGCAUCUAAGCACGAAACUUGCCCCGAGAUGAGUUCUCCCUGACUCCUUGAGAGUCCUGAAGGAACGUUGAAGACGACGACGUUGAUAGGCCGGGUGUGUAAGCGCAGCGAUGCGUUGAGCUAACCGGUACUAAUGAACCGUGAGGCUUAACCUUACAACGCCGAAG
rnacentral:rRNA from 1 species